rnacentral:rRNA from 1 species
UACGGGGGGUGCAAGCGUUACUCGGAAUCACUGGGCGUAAAGAGCAUGUAGGCUGUUAAGUAAGUUGGAAGUGAAAUCCUAUGGCUCAACCAUAGAACUGCUUCCAAAACUGCUUAGCUAGAGUAUGGGAGAGGUAGAUGGAAUUUCUGGUGUAGGGGUGAAAUCCGUAGAGAUCAGGAGGAAUACCGAUGGCGAAGGCGGUCUACUGGAACAUUACUGACGCUGAGAUGCGAAAGCGUGGGGAGCAAACAGG